AAAAUUAUCCAUGUGAUGAUGUAUAAGCUAGGCAUCGGAUUUAGUUGGGUUUUUGGAAACUAGCAUUUGCCUAUGUUGCUCGAUAUAUGGAGCCACAAAGGAUGACUGUUGCAGAAAAGUGUAGUGUGCCUUGUGGAUAAUUAUUUCAACAUUCAUUUACGAUAUCCAGCCUGAGUUUGUGGACUUGAAGUUCUUCUGUUCUACCAUUAUUUUCUGGUACUGGAGGAGUGGAGGUGACUCUCCAUAGACUUUGGAGAAGAUCGAGUUACGUGUAGAGAAUAGCGUAAGCAGGUUCUAUUAACUUGGAUUGGAUGAACGGAGGUGGUACAUCCAUUGUUGGUCCAUCUACAUCGUAUUACAUGAAAAAUAAACAUAGGGUUUUGUAUGGGAUUAUUAUUUAUAAUUUAGUUCUUACAUUAAACAUGAGAUAAAUAAAUUGUUGGUCAAUGAAAUACAAUUAUUAAGUGUUAAAUUAUAGUGACAUGAAAAAAUUGUAGCAAUGACCAAAUUCUAUUUUCUUACACCUACAAUUUAUUUACCUUAAUUUUAUUGCAAUUUCUAAAUAUUAAAAACAUAUUUACUCUAAUUUUUUCUCAUACAUAAUAUUGAAAUCCUCCAUUCUACCUCACAUUUACUCCCAUUCUACCUCACAUUCUACCUCAAAAUCCUCCCCAUUUUCUCCUUCACAUUCUAGCAAACUAUCUAUCUCCAUUCUACACAUGAAGUUGUUUUAACUAAUACGAAUCGUAUAUAACAAGCAAACUAUCCAUCACAUUCCAGCUCAAAAACAUAAAACAAAUCCUCUCCAUUCUCCCUCAUUUCUAACAAGCAAGCUCAUGUUUCUCCCUCUCUAAAGCAUAAACAAAGCAUAACAACAAUAAAUGAAAGGAGGAUGAAGUAGCUAACCUUCACUACACUUUGGAUGAGUGAAACCCCCACGGAAAUGAGGAAAAAACAUCGGGCAG
rnacentral:lncRNA from 1 species